rnacentral:rRNA from 1 species
GACAGAGGAUGCAAGCGUUAUCCGGAAUGAUUGGGCGUAAAGCGUCUGUAGGUGGCUUUUCAAGUCCGCCGUCAAAUCCCAGGGCUCAACCCUGGACAGGCGGUGGAAACUACCAAGCUGGAGUACGGUAGGGGCAGAGGGCUCGUAGAGCCGGUGGAGCGGUGAAAUGCGCAGAUAUCGGGAGGAACACCAAUGGCGAAGGCAGCUCGCUGGGACGUGACUGACGCUGAGACGCGAAAGCGUGGGA